rnacentral:rRNA from 1 species
UACAGAGGUCUCAAGCGUUGUUCGGAUUCAUUGGGCGUAAAGGGUGCGUAGGCGGCGCGGUAAGUCGGGUGUGAAAUCUCGGAGCUUAACUCCGAAACUGCAUUCGAUACUGCCGUGCUUGAGGACUGGAGAGGAGACUGGAAUUUACGGUGUAGCGGUGAAAUGCGUAGAUAUCGUAAGGAAGACCAGUGGCGAAGGCGGCUUUCUGGGCCUUACCUGACGCUGAGACGCGAAAGCGUGGGGAGCGAACCGG